CACGUAGGGGGCGAGCGUUGUCCGGAAUUACUGGGGCGUAAAGGGCGCGUAGGCGGUUUUUUAAGUUAGAUGUGAAAACCCAGGGCUUAACUUUGGGCGUGCAUUUAAAACUGGAGAGCUUGAGUGCAGGAGAGGUAAGUGGAAUUCCUAGUGUAGCGGUGAAAUGCGUAGAUAUUAGGAGGAACACCAGUGGCGAAGGCGACUUACUGGACUGUAACUGACGCUGAGGCGCGAAAGCGUGGGGAGCAAACAGGAUUAGAUACCCCCGUAGUCCCUGAGCGGGCUGGCAA
rnacentral:rRNA from 1 species